ACGUUGUUUUGGGGUGUUACAGGUUCACACGUGAGCGGCACAGCGGCGCGAGGCGAGGGCGUAGCUCCAUAGUUAGCGCCCUACCACCGAGACCAGAGAUAGCAGUACCCCGAGUCCGCCUAGCUAGGGGUGUAGAAGAAAAGAAAAGGAAAGAAUGAACAAUGUUGUAAUAAUUGUGAUUGUAUUUGGAAGUUAAAUGUAAAAUGUAAUUGUGAUGUAAAAUAUAUCUAGUGAAUGUGAAUGUUUGUAAUAACAAGUAUAUUAUGUUUUUGAUACUUUUUUAUGCAAUCUUUGAUUGAAAUGUGUUCCUGGUUGGAACUUUGUACAUUGUAUUGAUUGCGAUGCCUUGAAUGUACAGGGGAGAUUCUGUCCGUGGUACCGGGGAAAUCCUGUCCGUUCGGCGGUCUGUCGGCGUGCCCGAAACCGGCCAAAUAGGCGAG
rnacentral:lncRNA from 1 species